rnacentral:rRNA from 1 species
UACGAACGCUGGCGGCGUGCUUAACACAUGCAAGUCGAACGGAAAGGCCCUGCUUUUGUGGGGUGCUCGAGUGGCGAACGGGUGAGUAACACGUGAGUAACCUGCCCUUGACUUUGGGAUAACUUCAGGAAACUGGGGCUAAUACCGGAUAGGAGCUCCUGCUGCAUGGUGGGGGUUGGAAAGUUUCGGCGGUUGGGGAUGGACUCGCGGCUUAUCAGCUUGUUGGUGGGGUAGUGGCUUACCAAGGCUUUGACGGGUAGCCGGCCUGAGAGGGUGACCGGCCACAGUGGGACUGAGAUACGGCCCAGACUCCUACGGGAGGCAGCAGUGGGGAAUAUUGCACAAUGGGCGGAAGCCUGAUGCAGCAACGCCGCGUGCGGGAUGACGGCCUUCGGGUUGUAAACCGCUUUCGCCUGUGACGAAGCGUGAGUGACGGUAAUGGGUAAAGAAGCACCGGCUAACUACGUG